rnacentral:lncRNA from 1 species
CACAGCUUUUCCUGCCUGUAUGGAACAUGGCUGGCUAAGAUGGCGGCAAGAGAGAACAGCGGAAGAUGGGGGGACAGAACCUCUACAGAUGGACAAACCAACAAGGAUGAAGUAAGGACUAAACAUGGAACUGCUGCCAGCUUUUGGAAUGAAGCUUGUGCCAAACUCUGUGUUGUUGCUGAUUUUCACAUGAUGGAUGUGGAAACGCCUGGUUUUGUCAGAGCUGGCUUUGCUGAAGAUGCCUUGCAGGACUGCAGAAGGGGAAACCCAGCUCUCCUCCAGCUCAACUCUGUUGCAUCUGGUACAGCUGAAACCAUACCAAAGGAAGGACAUGUCCAAAGCCCUCUCUUGGGAGGAGGCUGAUGAGUGUCAUGAAAUGGCUGCUGGCAGACCUCUUUGCUUGUGAACACUGUGGCUCUGGACAGAUGGAUAUCACAUCUUGACUGCUUCUGGGAUGUUCCAAAGUCUUCAGUUCAGAAGCCCCCUGAGCCCAGGGCUGCGUGCUACACCGAAAUGUUCAAUCCUGCAUUUGAAUAAGCUGAAUCAAGCCAGCCAUACUGCUAAACAUAUGCAUGGAGGCUUCUUACAUAAACGAACGUUGCCCUGAAGCACUUGUAGUGCAGUUGUUACUGCCUUGUGUUAAUGGAGAAGGACCCCAAAGAGAAUGGAGUGUAAGG